AAAAAAAACUCUGAGAAUCACCCUCAGAAAUAACGCUUAGAAAACCAAGGAAUGCAACAACCACUUAGAUUCCUCCUGAACAGAAGUCGCAGCUAGGAGGACCUGAGCAGGGAUGAUGCCAGCAGAAAGAGUCUUGUAGGAAAUGCAAAGUUCUACAGUUGGAGCUCGUGCGAGUCUCCUCCGAGAAGAAGCUUUAAAACAUGUCAAUGUUUCCCGAUGGUGGCGCUGACAUGAACGACAAAGAGAUGUCGCUGCCUGAGGAAGAUCCAUUGUUCUAUCAGAAUCUAAUUCCCAACAAGAAGAAAAAUUCUGGGGGAAAUUACAUCGUGGAGAAUUACUGCUUAUAUUGUGGAAAGGCUUAUCAGAAACUGUCGAGACAUCUGUUGGCCAAACACAAAGAUGAAGCAAAUGUCGUGAAAGCUAUGAGCUUUUCAGAGAUCUCUAAGGAAAGGCUACUUCAUUUUCAAUACAUCAAAAAUAAGGGGAACUUGAAGCAUGACACAAACGGUUUGAAAAUCUACAAAUGCGAAAUCAUCCCCUGGAAGCCGAAGAGAAAAUCUGAUGGAAGAAGACGGAUACGCUGCGAGUACUGCUACACGUGUUGUUUGGAGAGCUCGAUGAAGAAACAUCGCAAGAUCUGCAAGCUUAAGGAUAAGCUUAAGCUACCUAAAC